GCAGGACCUGACGGAGCCUGGGCAGACGGACAUGUCCAAACUCUCAACAUCUGGCCAAAUGGUGUCUGAUGUGGGCUCCAUGAGAUGAGAACAGGGCACGCCUGAGGAACUGCAGGCACCCCGGAAAAUGACCUCAGCUUGGUGAACUGAGGUCUCUGUGGCCACUGAACCUGCAGGUGACCCCCUAGCCUCUAGAUCCUUCUGCGGACCAGAGAUAAGAAAACUGUGGCCCCGGAAGAGGAAGGAUUUGCUCAGGAUGGAUGCUAGCCCCAACUUCACGUGCCUCAGUCCCUGUGCCUCCCCACAGGCUGCAGCAACUGUUCCGAGGCAGGCAGGACACAGGUGCCUGACUGGUCACUGCCUCAGCCUCUUCUCAAGUGCCUUCUGGGGUGACAAGAACAAUCCAACAGCCCUGGAGGAAGCCAGGAUAUAGCAGCUGGCAGCAGCAGGAGCCAAAGGCUUAUUGCCAAACUUCCAGUGAGAAGAGAGACAUUUAACCAGUGUCUCCGGAUCCAAGAAAGAUUCUGAAUCCCACCUACCUUCAGAUCUGGGCAAAUUCCUGGGACCUGAUCCUCACAGUCAGCUCCAUGGGUAGACUUCAAAGGGCUGAUCCCAAGCUCAAGGA